rfam:Salmo salar isolate Sally breed double haploid chromosome ssa13, whole genome shotgun sequence.
CCAAAGGCUCUUUUAAGAGCCACCUAAUACAUGAAAAUAAGUGUGU